AUUGAACGCUGGCGGCAUGCUUUACACAUGCAAGUCGGACGGCAGCACAGAGAAGCUUGCUUCUUGGGUGGCGAGUGGCGAACGGGUGAGUAAUAUAUCGGAACGUACCGAGUAAUGGGGGAUAACUAAUCGAAAGAUUAGCUAAUACCGCAUAUUCUCUGAGGAGGAAAGCAGGGGACCUUCGGGCCUUGCGUUAUUCGAGCGGCCGAUAUCUGAUUAGCUAGUUGGUGGGGUAAAGGCCUACCAAGGCGACGAUCAGUAGCGGGUCUGAGAGGAUGAUCCGCCACACUGGGACUGAGACACGGCCCAGACUCCUACGGGAGGCAGCAGUGGGGAAUUUUGGACAAUGGGCGCAAGCCUGAUCCAGCCAUGCCGCGUGUCUGAAGAAGGCCUUCGGGUUGUAAAGGACUUUUGUCAGGGAAGAAAAGGCUGUUGCUAAUAUCGACAGCUGAUGACGGUACCUGAAGAAUAAGCACCGGCUAACUACGUGCCAGCAGCCGCGGUAAUACGUAGGGUGCGAGCGUUAAUCGGAAUUACUGGGCGUAAAGCGAGCGCAGACGGUUACUUAAGCAGGAUGUGAAAUCCCCGGGCUCAACCUGGGAACUGCGUUCUGAACUGGGUGACUAGAGUGUGUCAGAGGGAGGUAGAAUUCCACGUGUAGCAGUGAAAUGCGUAGAGAUGUGGAGGAAUACCGAUGGCGAAGGCAGCCUCCUGGGAUAACACUGACGUUCAUGCUCGAAAGCGUGGGUAGCAAACAGG
rnacentral:rRNA from 1 species